UAAGAAUCCCGACAAGGGAGGAUUAUAUCAACUCAAGCAGCCAAUAAUCAACAAUAACGGCUACAAGUAUAUCAAGUAUAUUAAGGAACAUGCCGUAAGUAGGGAAUAGCCUUAACAUACCUUUUUCGCUAAAUUCACGUGGCCUAAAGACUUUAACUCAUAACUCCCUCGAUACUACAACAAGGUAGGACCAUAAUCAACACAUAAAAUAAAAGAUACCAUGACAAUACAAUAAAAGAUAUGUAUUUCCGUCGCAAAUUGCUAUUUGCUGCUUAUAAAAGCUAGAGUCGAUGAAAGAAGGGUCUUACCUCGAUCUUAGGUUCG
rnacentral:lncRNA from 1 species